AAUGUUGUUCACCAGCACGUUAAAACUUUUCGAGUCGGGUCUCCCCAGAACGUUCUAACCACGCCCACAUGUGACGACUCUGGAGUGGGCGUGCCCUGCGGCGUGCCUACCUGCUCAUGUCCAGCAGGAAGCGGUCGGCCCUCGCCAUGCGCUCCACCUCGUGCUUGUGCUCCUCCAGCAGCUCCACGUCGCUCUUCUCAGGAACAAACUUCAGGAGCUGCGCAGACACAAGCGGACGUUUAGCGGCUCCCCGUGAGGCCGGCGGCCGCGCUGCGGAAAUUCGGACACCUGCUCCAGCAUGUCAGGGGGCAAGUCCUCCUGCUCGUCCAUGGCGGUGAGCGCCUGGCAGAUCUCCUCGUUGCUCAGCUUCAGCCUGCGGUGGAGACGGGUCAGUUUGAGGACAGAAAGCGGAGCGGCGUCGAGCCGCGGCGGAGCACUGACCGGGACAGCAGGAUGUUGCAGUUCUGCGCUCGCCGACCGUCGAUCACCGACAGCUCCUUCACCUUCUUCACAGACGGGUCCUCCGGUUCCUUCUGCAGGACACUCAUCACUUCGGUAUGUGGUAACCCUUCAGCUGCCUGACCCGGCAGAGCUCCUCCCACCGCCGCCGCCGCCGCUCCUCACCUUGGUCUUGAUGUUCUCUGCUGCCAGGCUUUGCGUGAUGACGUUGAUGCCCUCCGGGUGUUCCAGGACGUGACUUCUGCCCUGAGAGUUGUUCAUCAGAGCUUUGAAGCAGCCGAUCGCAGACGUGUGGACCUGCGACUCGGCCGUCUCGUAGUCCAUGGACUUGAGGAAGUUCAGGAUGCACGACAGGCCGUCCAGGUCCAGGAACCGGGUCACAAACCUGCAGGUGGGAUGCAGCAGGCGAUGACGCCGCAGUUCACGAGGGUCACAGGCGGACGGCCGAGACUCACCGGAUGGGCUGAGUCCGCAGAGCCGUCUUCAGACCGUCCACGACCGUCAGCCUGCCGUCGUUCUGACCGUUCUCCAGCGGCGCCAGCGUCUUCCUCUGGAGAGGAAGAGGAGAAACAUCAGAGCGACUCGAUCCAUGUUUCCAUCUGAGGUCUGUCCUGGAGCAGCUGAUCAAAGAACAGCCAGAAAGGGUUUGAAAAC
rnacentral:lncRNA from 1 species